rnacentral:rRNA from 1 species
GCGUUGUUGGGAUACUACCCUUGUGUUAUGGCUACUCUAACCCAGAUAGGUUAUCCCUAUCGGAGACAGUGUCUGACGGGCAGUUUGACUGGGGCGGUCGCCUCCUAAAAGGUAACGGAGGCGCCCAAAGGUUCCCUCAGAUUGGUUGGAAAUCAAUCGCAGAGUGUAAAGGUAUAAGGGAGCUUGACUGCGAGAGCUACAACUCGAGCAGGGACGAAAGUCGGGCUUAGUGAUCCGGUGGUUCUGAAUGGAAGGGC